ensembl:misc_RNA
GAACAGCCUCCUUCAAAAUGCAGCUUCACUGAUUCAUGGCAAAAAGCUGGUAUAAGCCUGCCAGGUCUUAGAAGCUUUCAAAAUAAUCAUAUUGAACUUGAUACAUUAGAGUACAGCACCUUGAAAAUGAAUCAUCUGCUAGUUCAGUAUUUUCUAAUUACGAUCACUCCCUCUCAGGGCAUGUAAUUAAUUUACUGAGCCAAAAAAAAAAAAAAA